CCUACGGGAGGCAGCAGUGGGGAAUAUUGCACAAUGGGCGAAAGCCUGAUGCAGCAACGCCGCGUGAAGGAAGAAGGCCUUCGGGUCGUAAACUUCUGUCCUUGGGGAAGAAGAACUGACGGUACCCAAGGAGGAAGCCCCGGCUAACUACGUGCCAGCAGCCGCGGUAAUACGUAGGGAGCAAGCGUUAUCCGGAUUUAUUGGGUGUAAAGGGUGCGUAGACGGAGAAGCAAGUUAGUUGUGAAAUCCCUCGGCUUAACUGAGGAACUGCAACUAAAACUACUUCCCUUGAGUACUGGAGAGGAAAGUGGAAUUCCUAGUGUAGCGGUGAAAGGCGUAGAUAUUAGGAGGAACACCAGUGGCGAAGGCGACUUUCUGGACAGUAACUGACGUUGAGGCACGAAAGUGUGGGGAGCAAACAGGAUUAGAUACCCCUGUAGUC
rnacentral:rRNA from 1 species